rnacentral:snRNA from 1 species
GUGCUCACUUCAGCAGCACAUAUACUAAAAUUGUAACGAUGCAGAGAAGAUUAGCAUGGCCCCUGCACAAGGAUGACACGCAAAUUCAUGAAGCGUUCCAUGUGGUU